CCUACGGGAGGCAGCAGUAGGGAAUUUUUCACAAUGGGCGAAAGCCUGAUGGAGCAACGCCGCGUGCAGGAUGAAGGCCUUCGGGUUGUAAACUGCUUUUAUAAGCGAGAAAUAUGAUGGUAACUUAUGAAUAAGGAUCGGCUAACUACGUGCCAGCAGCCGCGGUCAUACGUAGGAUCCGAGCAUUAUCCGGAGUGACUGGGUGUAAAGAGUUGCGUAGGUGGCAUAAUAAGUAGCUAGGGAAAUCUGGUGGCUCAACCAUUCAGACUAUUAGCUAAACUGUUAAGCUCGAGACCGUUAGGGGUAACUGGAAUUUCUAGUGUAGGAGUGAAAUCCGUAGAUAUUAGAAGGAACACCAAUAGCGUAGGCAGGUUGCUGGGACGGUUCUGACACUAAGGCACGAAAGCGUAGGGAGCAAACAGGAUUAGAUACCCGGGUAGUC
rnacentral:rRNA from 1 species